CGAUUAGGAAUCGAAAUUAAGCGGAUAAAAAAAAAGAAAAAAGCAACAACACACAAACCUCCCAAAGUCUUCUGCGAGUCUUUGGAGCAGUUCUUUUCCUCGCUAGCCUCUCAGCGGAGCUUCCCGGGGACUGACACGCAGUGCCGGGAGCGUGGCCCGGCGGCGGCUCCCUCCCGCCGAUCCCGGCCGGCUCCCAGCUCCCUGCCCGCCCUCCGCCUUCCCAAACUUUCCGGGCUGAUCCGCGGCGCCCCGGCCGCGGGACGGAGCGCCCGGUGCCCAAGUCCGCAGGAAGCUGUCCCGCCCGGGAGCCGAUCCCGCUGCCCCGCGGCUCUCCUGGGACACCGCGGGCUCGCCCCGUGCCCCGUCACGGCGCUCCCGGCCGUCCCCUUCCCAGCGCCUCCCGCACCCACCGGCCUCCGCCGGGACAGCGGGCGGGAGCGGGGCCGCCGCGUGUCCUUACUUGGAGUUGCGUUCUCCCAAGGGACGGGAAGGGCCGGGCAGCGGCGGGAGAGGAGCUGGAUCCGCAGCGCCGGCCGCCGGCAACUUCCCCGCUCCGCCGCCACACGUGGAGCUGAGGAGCGGGCUGCACUGCCCGCCCGCCGCUCGCCGCCGAGGACGUGGCAGCUCCGGCCCUCCCCCCGGCCCUCCCCGGCCGCGCCGGAGGCUCCUCCCGGCCCCGCUCUGCGGAACGCGGGGCGCCCUCUGCCGCCCGCCCGGGCACCGCCCGCCCCAGCCGCGCCCGGCCCCGCCGCCCCGGGGAGCCCGGCCCCGGCUCCGGCCGGCGGAGCCCGCGGGCCGCGGAGCUGCGUGCAGCACCCCAGGCCCCCUCAGGUGUCGGGCGCGCAGGACGAGGGAGAGAUGUUUGUAAAGGAGAACGCAAAAAAUAGGUGGCAUCAGGACAGCGAUUCUUUUUUUUUUUUUUUUUUUUUCCUUUCGCGUACCAGCUGGACGGAAGCGCCUGUUGAGUUGGUCAAACUCUGCGAUAAUGAGGCGAAAAUAAAAAUGGAGGGCAGGCUGCACGUCCUCCGGGAGCAGGGGCUGUGUGGGCAGAGCGGCGGGACUGGGUGUGCUGGGGAGCCCUGUCACACUCAGCCUGAGCUGCUGCUAUCUCUGCACCGGCGACACCCCAAAACACCUGCAGCUGCUUCCCUGCUCCCGUGGCUUAGGCUGACUGCCACAGAGAGUGUGAGUGAGAGACUGCUCUGCUUUCUUACUGCGGAGAAAAGACCUCUCACCACCUUCCUAAACAGACAGAAGCUGUAA
rnacentral:lncRNA from 1 species